UGGGGAAUAUUGGACAAUGGGCGAAAGGCUGAUCCAGCCAUGCCGCGUGUGUGAAGAAGGUCUUCGGAUUGUAAAGCACUUUAAGUUGGGAGGAAGGGCAGUAAGCGAAUACCUUGCUGUUUUGACGUUACCGACAGAAUAAGCACCGGCUAACUCUGUGCCAGCAGCCGCGGUAAUACAGAGGGUGCAAGCGUUAAUCGGAUUUACAGGGCGUAAAGCGCGCGUAGGUGGUUCGUUAAGUUGAAUGUGAAAGCCCCGGGCUCAACCUGGGAACUGCAUCCAAAACUGGCGAGCUAGAGUAGGGCAGAGGGUGGUGGAAUUUCCUGUGUAGCGGUGAAAUGUGUAGAUAUAGGAAGGAACACCAGUGGCGAAGGCGACCACCUGGGCUCAUACUGACACUGAGGUGCGAAAGCGUGGGGAGCAAACAGG
rnacentral:rRNA from 1 species